AAUAAGGUGCCUGACUAAAGGGUUAUUUUGAUAGAAUAAAUUAUGUAAUUUAAUUACCCUUAUUG
rnacentral:tRNA from 1 species